ACACCUGCAAGUCGAACGGCAGCGGGGGAAAGCUUGCUUUCCUGCCGGCGAGUGGCGAACGGGUGAGUAAUACAUCGGAACGUGCCCUGUAGUGGGGGAUAACUAGUCGAAAGAUUAGCUAAUACCGCAUACGACCUGAGGGUGAAAGUGGGGGACCGCAAGGCCUCAUGCUAUAGGAGCGGCCGAUGUCUGAUAGCUAGUUGGUGGGGUAAAGGCCCACCAGGCCGACGAUCAGUAGCUGGUCUGAGAGGACGAUCAGCCACACUGGGACUGAGACACGGCCCAGACUCCUACGGGAGGCAGCAGUGGGGAAUUUUGGACAAUGGGCGAAAGCCUGAUCCAGCAAUGCCGCGUGUGUGAAGAAGGCCUUCGGGUUGUAAAGCACUUUUGUCCGGAAAGAAAUGGCUCUGGUUAAUACCUGGGGUCGAUGACGGUACCGGAAGAAUAAGGACCGGCUAACUACGUGCCAGCAGCCGCGGUAAUACGUAGGGUCCAAGCGUUAAUCGGAAUUACUGGGCGUAAAGCGUGCGCAGGCGGUUGUGCAAGACCGAUGUGAAAUCCCCGAGCUUAACUUGGGAAUUGCAUUGGUGACUGCACGGCUAGAGUGUGUCAGAGGGGGGUAGAAUUCCACGUGUAGCAGUGAAAUGCGUAGAGAUGUGGAGGAAUACCGAUGGCGAAGGCAGCCCCCUGGGAUAACACUGACGCUCAUGCACGAAAGCGUGGGGAGCAAACAGGAUUAGAUACCCUGGUAGUCCACGCCCUAAACGAUGUCAACUAGUUGUUGGGGAUUCAUUUCCUUAGUAACGUAGCUAACGCGUGAAGUUGACCGCCUGGGGAGUACGGUCGCAAGAUUAAAACUCAAAGGAAUUGACGGGGACCCGCACAAGCGGUGGAUGAUGUGGAUUAAUUCGAUGCAACGCGAAAAACCUUACCUACCCUUGACAUGCCACUAACGAAGCAGAGAUGCAUUAGGUGCUCGAAAGAGAAAGUGGACACAGGU
rnacentral:rRNA from 1 species